AUCCCUUUUGGGGUGGAGAUAGAGAUCGGCGAUAAGGCUUAAGUCGUAACAAGGUAUCCCUACCCGAAGGUGGGGAUGGAUCACCUCCUUU
rnacentral:ncRNA from 1 species